rnacentral:lncRNA from 1 species
UGGAAAGAAUACAACCUCGAACCACACAGGGACCCUGUGACAAUGUGAUCUCUGCCACUUUCUUGCUCUGUGAAUUGAGAGAGAUUAUUUCAGUUCUCUCGGUUUUCACUUUCUUAAUCCUUUCCUUAUUCAAUCUGUUUGUUUACCUUGCUCAGACAACACAAAAGAAGACACAGAAGCACCAUGGGCAAACCAUGGAACAAGAACUGGAAUGAAUAUCUAUUCCACUACCUGAACUAAAGACUGCAGACGGAGAAAGGGAAGACAGGGGUUUAACUGGCAAUUCAAAGUGAGGUGAUCAGCCUUCUGUUACAGAGUUAACUGUGUGUGAAAGCAACUGGAGCUGCUGAUAAGACACCUACUCGGAGUAAUGAUGCAUAAUAUGGAAAUGCAAUAACCCAGACCUCGGUCUUGCUCUGUUGCCCAGGCUGUAGUGCAGAUGCAAGAU